GACGCUGAGUGUGUGUGUGUGUGUGUGUGUGUGUGUGUGUGUGUGUGUACGCGCGCGCGUGCAGAUGCUGAACCCACCCUCCCUC
rnacentral:miRNA from 1 species